GAUAAGGUGGUUCAGCACACCGGGAGACAUGGAUAUACUUCACAGAAUGUGCUGGCUAUAUGUGAUUUCAACAUGAGGUUCACAUUUGCUGUGACUGGAUGGCCUGGUUCGGUUCAUGACAUGAGAGUCUUCAGUGAUGCCUUAAACAAAUAUGGUGACAAGUUUCCGCAUCCUCCUGCAGGCAAAUUUUACCUAGUUGACUCGGGUUAUGCAAAUCGUCCGGGUUACCUUGCACCCUACAAGGGUACAAAGUAUCAUCUACCGGAGUUUAGGAGUGGCCCAAUGCCAAAAGGUAUGAAAGAGACUUUUAAUUACGCCCAUUCGUCCCUUAGAAACGUUAUCGAGAGGUCAUUUGGAGUGUUGAAGAUGAAGUGGAGG